UACGAGGGGUGCAAGCGUUGCUCGGAAUCAUUGGGCGUAAAGGGUAGGUAGGUGGUCUCAUUUGUCUGAGGUGAAAGCCUUGAGCUUAACUCAAGAAGUGCCUCGGAAACGGUGAGACUGGAGUCCUGGAGAGGGUCGGUGGAAUUCCCGGUGUAGCGGUGAAAUGCGUAGAGAUCGGGAGGAACACCGGUGGCGAAGGCGGGUCUCUGGGCAAUUCCGUGACGCUGAGGCGCGAAAGCGUGGGGAGCAAACGGG
rnacentral:rRNA from 1 species